rnacentral:rRNA from 1 species
GACGAACGCUGGCGGCGUGCCUAAUACAUGCAAGUAGAACGCUGAAGAGAGGAGCUUGCUCUUCUUGGAUGAGUUGCGAACGGGUGAGUAACGCGUAGGUAACCUGCCUGGUAGCGGGGGAUAACUAUUGGAAACGAUAGCUAAUACCGCAUAAAAUUGAUUAUUGCAUGAUAAUUAAUUGAAAGAUGCAACUGCAUCACUACCAGAUGGACCUGCGUUGUAUUAGCUAGUUGGUGAGGUAACGGCUCACCAAGGCGACGAUACAUAGCCGACCUGAGAGGGUGAUCGGCCACACUGGGACUGAGACACGGCCCAGACUCCUACGGGAGGCAGCAGUAGGGAAUCUUCGGCAAAGGGGGGAACCCUGACCGAGCAACGCCGCGUGAGUGAAGAAGGUUUUCGGAUCGUAAAGCUCUGUUGUAAGAGAAGAACGGGUGUGAGAGUGGAAAGUUCACACUGUGACGGUAUCUUACCAGAAAGGGACGGCUAACUACGU